UAUCUCGCACUUGGGGCAAUGCUGAAGCUAGUGAGGUUCUCACCGAGGCACGUCUAUCGCUGGUGGAAAACUAUUCCAAACAAAGUUGCGAAUUCUCUUCUUCUAAUUUCCCAAUUAGUCAUUCAAAAUUUCAACCUACUAUCCGAAUAU
rnacentral:snRNA from 1 species